rnacentral:lncRNA from 1 species
CCCCCCUCCCCGGGCAGCCAGUGCCAGAUGAGAGCAGGAGACAAAAGUAGCAUUUUCCUCGUACUCCGGGGCUGGCAGUGGGGCCUUCCCCCAGCACCACAUGGCUCCUGGCAGCCCUGCCCCCUGUGCCGGGGUGGCCGAGGCCCAGCCGGGCCCACUGGACCGAGGGACGGCGGCGGCCAGAGACUAGGGGGCCCGUGGCCCAUGGCUGGGGCUGGCACCGGGCAGCCUGCUGGCCGGCGGGACCUGCCCUCCUCCCCCACCCGGGUGACCGGCCGGGCCCAGGGACGUCAUUUUCACUUCCUGGCUUUGGAGAAGGCGCCUCCAUCCUCCGGCACCUCGGAACGUGGCCCCGUCCCAAAGCACUACUCGAGACAUCAGGAGCCCAUCGUGGGCUUGGGAAGACCCUCCAGGACCUCACGGCCCAGGUCUUCCACCCUUGGCCACCUCCCCCGGUGACACCUGAAGCUCAAGGGACUGUGUCCACCCUCAG